rnacentral:rRNA from 1 species
AUUGAACGCUGGCGGCAUGCCUUACACAUGCAAGUCGAACGGUAACAGGUCUUCGGAUGCUGACGAGUGGCGAACGGGUGAGUAAUACAUCGGAACGUGCCUAGUAGUGGGGGAUAACUACUCGAAAGAGUGGCUAAUACCGCAUGAGAUCUACGGAUGAAAGCAGGGGAUCGCAAGGCCUUGUGCUACUAGAGCGGCCGAUGGCAGAUUAGGUAGUUGGUGGGAUAAAAGCUUACCAAGCCGACGAUCUGUAGCUGGUCUGAGAGGACGAUCGGCCUCACUGGGACUGAGACACGGCCCAGACUCCUACGGGAGGCAGCAGUGGGGGAUUUUGGACAAUGGGCGCAAGCCUGAUCCAGCAAUGCCGCGUGCAGGAUGAAGGCCUUCGGGUUGUAAACUGCUUUUGUACGGAACGAAAAGCCCUGGGUUAAUACCCUGGGGUCAUGACGGUACCGUAAGAAUAAGCACCGGCUGACUACGUGCCAGCCGCCGCAGUAAAAC